AGCACACGAGAUUGGGGGGAAGGGGCUCAGGUGCCGACUGGGGGUGGAGGCGGGCAAUGCAGGAAAGUGUGCACCUCUCGGGCUAGUGAGCAGGCAGCUGGGGGACGCAGAGGCAGCCAGCAGGCCAGGCACCAGAUUCUCCUUUUAGCAAACUCCCACUAGUGACUUCAGCAAGGCACCUUCUCACGUUUCCUUCCACAGUAAGCUUCCGAGGGAGGAUCUGAAAGGGUUAGGAGGGUUUAGUGCACACAGCCGCGUGUAAAGCGGGACCAUAGGAAGACACCGGGCUGGGACCGAAGCGGAGGUGUCUCCUCACCUUGGCACAAGGCCUCAGGAGCUUCCCGGUGUGUCGAGUGUGGUGGCGGGGCACGAAUCGCAGGUCCAGCGGCCAAGCCGGGGAGGGUGAUCUCUGAAAGACACAGGCAGCCACGGUCCUUUGUCAGCCCAGAAAUGCCACGGUGUUCGAACAAAAAGUCAAGACAAGACAGAGACAGCAGGAGCUGCUGACAACUUUCUGAAGUAGAAGCUAAAAGACAUCAGAUAAAAUCGAGCAUCUUUAAAUGGAUUCUGUGUACUUCGCAAGGCAAAGACCUCCCCGCUGCCUGUGUGGCAUCACUAGCUACUGCAGGGAACUUGAACUCUUUACUUUAAUCAUUGCUUUUGUUAGCAAGAGAACAAGGUGAAACUGCAUUUCAUAACACCAACCUCUGUCUUCUUAGCAAUGACACAGCUUCAGAAAUGCUGGCUUGGUACACGGAAACCUCGUCCUCAGAAGAGUAUAAUUAUUUUGUUCCAAGGCAAUAAGAUGGGAGUACACAAUGCAUUAAAAAUUCUUUCAAAGUACCCUAUUUAGACAUUCAACUUUCUAAUACUCUCAGCACUGAAGUGUAGGCUCAAUAUUGUCUUGAGAUCAAGGAAAUUUUACAGGGAGCCAAAUUAUAGCUUUCUUUUUAGGACAACAAACACAUGAUUUAUGUAAGAAG